AGGAUUGUGGCAGGGGAGAUACCAUGAUCACAAAGGUGAUUUUCCAGGGUGAGGCUUAUCCAUUGUACUCCAUGUGCUAACCCCUGCAAGUUCCCCAAAAUGUGGAAAAUUCCAUUGUAUAAUUUGUGGUGGUGGGGGGACUACAUUGACACUUUCUCCUG
ensembl:snRNA U1 U1 spliceosomal RNA